rnacentral:misc_RNA from 1 species
UUGAAUGAAUGUAGAGUUGGUUGUCGCUGGCCCUUUCGGGGGCAUGUGCACGCCUUCUCUUUCAUCCACACACACCUGUGCACUUGUGAGACGGAGGGACUUUAAUUAGUCUUCCGUCUACUUAAUUACACAAACUCAUUUAAUUAAAUUGAAUGUAAUUGAUGUAACGCAUCAUUAGAAC